AACGAACGCUGGCGGCAUGCCUAACACAUGCAAGUCGAACGAGACCUUCGGGUCUAGUGGCGCACGGGUGCGUAACGCGUGGGAACCUGCCCUUAGGUUCGGAAUAACUCCCCGAAAGGGGUGCUAAUACCGGAUAAUGUCUUCGGACCAAAGAUUUAUCGCCUUUGGAUGGGCCCGCGUUGGAUUAGCUAGUUGGUAGGGUAAAAGCCUACCAAGGCGACGAUCCAUAGCUGGUCUGAGAGGAUGAUCAGCCACACUGGGACUGAGACACGGCCCAGACUCCUACGGGAGGCAGCGGUGGGGAAUAUUGGACAAUGGGCGAAAGCCUGAUCCAGCAAUGCCGCGUGAGUGAUGAAGGCCUUAGGGUUGUAAAGCUCUUUUACCCGGGAUGAUAAUGACAGUACCGGAAGAAUAAGCUCCGGCUAACUCCGUG
rnacentral:rRNA from 1 species